rnacentral:rRNA from 1 species
GAUAAACGCUGGCGGCGUGCCUAACACAUGCAAGUCGAACGUCCUCUUUUGCCUUCGCGAGAAGGGAGAGAGGGAGUGGCGGACGGGUGAGUAACACGUGGGUACCUACCCUGGGGUGAGGAAUACCGGCGAGAAAUCGCCGACAAGACCGCAUAGGCUCUUUCUUGCACACGUAAAAGAGAGCAAAGCCGAAAGGUGCCCUGGGAUGGGCCUGCGGCCGAUUAGCUAGUUGGCGAGGUAAGAGCUCCCCAAGGCGACGAUCGGUAGCUGGUCUGAGAGGACGAACAGCCACACUGGGAUUGAGAACGGCCCAGACUCCUACGGGGGGCGA